rnacentral:rRNA from 1 species
GGGGUAACGGCCCACCAAGGCUACGACGGGUAGCUGGUCUGAGAGGACGAUCAGCCACACUGGAACUGAGACACGGUCCAGACUCCUACGGGAGGCAGCAGUGGGGAAUCUUGCGCAAUGGGCGAAAGCCUGACGCAGCAACGCCGCGUGUGUGAUGAAGGUCUUCGGAUCGUAAAGCACUGUCGCGAGGGACGAAUAAGGGGCGGGUUAACAUCCCGUUCCGAUGACGGUACCUCGAGAGGAAGCACCGGCUAACUCUGUGCCAGCAGCCGCGGUAAUACAGAGGGUGCAAGCGUUGUUCGGAAUUAUUGGGCGUAAAGCGCGUGUAGGCGGCCUUGCAAGUUGGGUGUGAAAGCCCUCGGCUUAACCGAGGAAGUGCGCCCAAAACUACGAGGCUUGAGUGCCGGAGAGGGUGGCGGAAUUCCCGGUGUAGAGGUGAAAUUCGUAGAUAUCGGGAGGAACACCAGUGGCGAAGGCGGCCACCUGGACGGUAACUGACGCUGAGACGCGAAAGCGUGGGGAGCAAACAGGAUUAGAUACCCUGGUAGUCCACGCUGUAAACGAUGAGCGCUAGGUGUUGUGGGUGUUGACCCCUGCAGUGCCGCAGCUAACGCAUUAAGCGCUCCGCCUGGGAAGUACGGCCGCAAGGCUA